rnacentral:rRNA from 1 species
AUUGAACGCUGGCGGCAUGCCUUACACAUGCAAGUCGAACGGCAGCACGGGUGCUUGCACCUGGUGGCGAGUGGCGAACGGGUGAGUAAUACAUCGGAACAUGUCCUGUAGUGGGGGAUAGCCCGGCGAAAGCCGGAUUAAUACCGCAUACGAUCUACGGAUGAAAGCGGGGGACCUUCGGCCCUCGCGCUAUCGGGUUGGCCGAUGGCUGAUUAGCUAGUUGGUGGGGUAAAGGCCUACCAAGGCGACGAUCAGUAGCUGGUCUGAGAGGACGACCAGCCACACUGGGACUGAGACACGGCCCAGACUCCUACGGGAGGCAGCAGUGGGGAAUUUUGGACAAUGGGCGAAAGCCUGAUCCAGCAAUGCCGCGUGUGUGAAGAAGGCCUUCGGGUUGUAAAGCACUUUUGUCCGGAAAGAAAUCCUUGGCCCUAAUACGGUCGGGGGAUGACGGUACCGGAAGAAUAAGCACCGGCUAACUACGUG